rnacentral:rRNA from 1 species
GACGAACGCUGGCGGCGUGCCUAAUACAUGCAAGUUGAGCGAUGAAGAUUGGUGCUUGCACCAAUUUGAAGAGCAGCGAACGGGUGAGUAACGCGUGGGGAAUCUGCCUUUGAGCGGGGGACAACAUUUGGAAACGAAUGCUAAUACCGCAUAACAACUUUAAACAUAAGUUUUAAGUUUGAAAGAUGCAAUUGCAUCACUCAAAGAUGAUCCCGCGUUGUAUUAGCUAGUUGGUAAGGUAAAGGCCCACCAAGGCGAGGUACCAUAGCCGCCCUGGGAGGUGAACGGGCACAACUGGAACUGGACACCGCCCAAACUCCUACGGGGAGCAGCAGUAGGGGAUCUUCGGCAAUGGGCCGAAGUCUUGCCGGACAACGGCCGGUUGGUGAAGGAAGUUCUUGGAUCGUAAAACUCUGUUUGUAGGGGAGGAAGAUGGGGGGAGGUAAAAGCUCAUCACGUGACGGUACCUACCCAGAAAGGGACGGCUAACUACGUG